GGGAACCUGCUGCCGCUUCCUCCCCCUCCACCCUCCCAGCCUGGUCCGGGAGUCGGGCCCGGCUGGGGAGGAGGAAGUUGCGGCCCAGCUGGGACAGCAGCAGGUGGGAAGGUCCGCGUCCGGGCUUUUGCGGCUGCCUAAUUGCAGCCUGGCCUUGGGCAAAGCUUCCUACCCUUCUCCUAGCCCCACACUUUCCGCUUCGAAGGGCCUGCGCCGUGCCAGUGCUGGGGUGAGACGUUGCCGCCGUCUUCCUUUACCCUGCCUCCCACCCUAAGCCCUCAGUCUCUCCAAACGGGACCUGCAGCGCACAGAGGAGCGGCCAAUUAAGUGGGGAAAGGGGCUGGGACCCGCGCGCAGAACCCCACGGGAUUUAGACGCGCACAAGUGUAGCGACUGCUAAGCCGCUGGGCUAUUUCUUCUCCCGACUGUUGGAGAAUUACUUACAAAGCGCCUAGACUUCCCUGGAGGAUGAACUGCUCGUUCUCUCUCGCCUUGUCCGCCCUCAAUCUCUUCCUCCACUACCGCCCGGCACGCUCUGCUGAUCUAAAAUCAGAACAAUUAGAGAGUAAUGAAUUCUCUGGAACAGCAACUCCUACAGACACUCAGCUCUGCCCUCGCACCAGCGCCUCCCAACUCUCCUUCCCAACAACCAGGCAAGAGCGUGUAGACCCUUAAAAAUCAGCUCAGUGUUAACCGGGUCUAGAGUCUGGAAGUUUGCAAAUUCAUCUGUGUGCGUUUGUGUGUGUGUGUGUAAAAGUGAGCGCAUAUUAUCUCUGAGUUCUUCGGUGUCAAACGAAGCUUCGCUCUUAAAGGACACGACAUAUUUAAAAGUCCUUUCCUUCCACUGUGUUUGCAAUUCCUGUGUGUGUGUGUGUGUGUAUAUAUAUAUAUAUUCUGUUUAUUUCCUAAAGCGAUCAAAUGCCUCUUUCAGGCGGUGUAUGAGACCUUUUAAGGGGCUCCUUGAGUCACCAGCUACUUCGUCAAACUAGCUCUUAUUCUGGACUGUCCAGCUCGGGUGAAUUUUUGCGAUUAAGAGAUGUGAAACGGACAAUUCCAAGAAGGGCGCUGCGCGGGUACCCACCUCCUAGUCUCAUAUCCUCACGUGGCCCCUAGGAGGUGCUGGUGAAAUGUGCUUCGGUUUUACAGCUACGUAGUUAAUGCUGCGUUACCAAGUGUGCCUGGUUUUGUAGCUCUGAGCAAGACACUUGAAUUAAAAGGGUAUGGAAUAGGUCACGCACGUGCUGUGACUGUUCUGAUAACCAAAUGGCGGUGCUGUUCCGUUUAGUUUGUAGGGAUUAUGCAGUACACCCAGGCUUGUUACUAACUCUUUUUUGUCUUUUAAAGCUUUGUACGUGGGAAUACUGUCUCACACAAGGGAGGUCUACUUUAACAUUUAUUAAGUCACGUAUUAUUUAGAAAUAGCUUGGAUUAUAUUUGCUAUUAUAAAAGGAUGCAUAAGAACCCAGGCCAUAGCUCAAAUGCUAAAAGAACCUGCCGGUAGACAAAAAAAUCCUAUAUCAGCCAAAGGAUAAAAAAUGAGUUAACAGCUCCCUCCCACUUCCAUAAGCUUCUUCAGAAAUGCCCUUUCUCUUAGAUUUCUUCUUAGAAAUGGUCUGGAGUCAGAUAAAUACCCUGAAAUAUAUUAAGACUAAAUGGAAAAAGAAAAUUAAUCACUUAUAUAUUUUCUCUUCUUUCCUAUGAUUCUAUGGUUGCACCUGCAGAUGGCUAUUAGUUUUCUGAACCAAAUGCAUUUAGAAAGGCAACACUUUUUUCUCUUUUUGACUCCAGGUAAUGAGCUCUGUUUGAAAAUCAAUCAUGCAGAAAUAAAUGCCAGUUUUCUGAAACUUGGGUUGAAAUUUUUUUCCUUUAAUAGUCUAUUCUAAGUAAAAUGAAUAAACCACAGGGGAAGACAAUUUGAUACAAAAAAAAAAUCAUUACAGAAAUGAGUACAAAGUUUUAAGAUGAUUGGCUGCAUCUAUUAAAGGCACAUAAUAAACAUCUCAGUCUUUCUCAACAAUCAUCAGCAUCAUCUUUAUCCACCUCUCCCAUGGACUGAAUGACAUACCGUAAAGGUUACAUCUGGUAAGAGAAAGUUGAAGAAAUAUUAAUGUUUUGGGCAAGAAAUUUGAUUUUCAGAAUAGAAUCUUUACCUUAAUUGUUUAGCUAAGUAAGGAAACAUGAACAAUCAAUUUUUAAAACUCAAACUCCAUAAAUGUAUGAUAGCAUUGCAUACUCAAAUGUUGCAUUUUAAAAACAAAAGCAUAUAAGUGAAUUCUAAUUAAUAAGUGACUUUUCACUAUAUCCCUAUUAGGAAAAUUCAAGCGUGCCAAGCACUUGAGCAAAUGUGCUUUUUUUGGAGCAAUGCGUGAUACUGAUUUUUCUAGUCAAUCUCUCUCUUUUGGCUGAGUCAGGCCUUAUUUAACAAAAAUCCCCAUUAGUUUUGGACACCAUUGCAGAUAGACAUUGGGAUCCAUCCGUGGAUUAAAUUUUUCCAGGGAAAUGACAAAUAUGCUCUUCCUGAGAAGCUACCUAUAACAGUAGAGUCAAAUAUUCGUCAUGAUCUAGAUCUGCAUUCAGGUUGUGAAUGGGCAUGUGACACACAGGGUAAUUGUUUCACUAGCAGCACAGAUCUUUCCUUUGCACUUAUAUAAGAUAUGAUCCCCAACAAUUAAACAUGUUUUCAGACUUCUAAUAACUGUAUUAAAUAGUUCAAGACCACAAUAAUAAGAAAUGAGAUGUUCCUGACAUUUGUAUCUAUCAGGUAUUAAGAACCACAUAUUAAUCUUCUGAGUACUAAUUGAUGAUAACAAAUCAUCAUCAGAUUAGCUAGAAAUGUAGUCAAGAUGAAUUUGCAAUCUGCUGUUUUGGUGACAGCCACAGUUUAUGCUACUUUAAGGCAUUAAUUCUUAUCUACUGGAAAAUAGCUUUGGUUUUAAAAAUCAUGCUGUUUCACUUAUCACGUGGGUAAUAUUCAUUCAUAUUAUAUUCAAUGAAUGUAUUUGUUGAAUAAGUAUUUUGUGCUUUGGCUAUAUGCUAGGUGACACAGGGACAGGAAAGCCCUAGAAGGAGCAAUUUCAGCCCUUAGGAGUUCACAACUUCUGGUUGAGAUAAUAAUACACAUAUGAAAUAUUCAAAUGGUAGAAGAUUUACUAUGUGUGACAUACUAGCAUGAGUAGGAAUAUUAAGGAUGCUGAGAAGACACCAAAACCACAAUUGCCUCCUCUUUCAGCUAAUGUGCCAAACACCCAUUAUGUCUGGAUUAGCUUGUGUAUUUGUAGUCAUAUAUAUAAAUUACAAGAUGCUUCUAAGAAUGGCCUAUUCUCAUUCAGUGUCUCAGUCUACUGUCUACUCUAAGAAAAUAGGAUUUAUUCCAUAAGCGUUAUUUGCUUCACAAAAUGGCAAUAAUGCCAUUUUUAUCUGGCAUACCUGGGAAUGCAGCAUUUUAUAUAAUAGUUUUCCUAAAUGAUUGAAAUUUGUUUGGGUGGAAACUAUUCUCUCUGCGUUAUUGUAUCUAGUUCUCUGAUUGCUUUUAGAGUGCUCUGUACCUAUUUAUAGUGUAGCAUAAUUUGUUCUUUUUUUAAAAUGUUUGUUUCUACUUACCUAUUGCAGACUUUGCAAAAUCUAAUGCAAUGUCUUUUUUAUUUAUAAGUCCUUGUUGCCUUGCACUUGGCCAGGGACAUCAGUCAGUCUCCAUAAAUGUCAACUGAAUAAUGAAAUGAACAAAUAUUUUUGAGUAUAAUUUGAUUUGAAUAAUGACUCAGUAUGAAUAUAGUAAACAUAGCAAUUUCAUUUUUACCUGCAAUAUGGUGGACCUAUCAGUGUAUAGAAGAGCCAUUUCCUCUCCGUUAAAUGACUCUAGACCAAACUUAAUUAAGCCUUUCUGCGUGUUCUUCCUUCUCCGUUAGUAUGAGUCUUCACAUUUCUCCUUCUGACAGUGUGCUUUGAAUCUGUCAGCCUGUCACUGUGCUCUGUCUAAUGUGUUGAUUCUAAUCUGCACUGGGCUGACAAAUUAUGUAACUACGGUUGUUAAAAAUAUAUGUAAAAUAAAACCAAAUACGAUCUAACACAUCUAAAGAUGUAAUUUUGAAAUAGUAUGAACAGAUGCUGGAUUUGAAGUCAUCUUCUCUUGGUCAGUUUUCUUUUUGGAUAAAAGAGCUUCGGGAUAUGAAUUUAUGGCAUCUAUUUUAGAUUUGCAUAGUACUUACUUCCCUUAGUGCUUGUAUUUGCUGUGUUAUGAAUAGUUGAAGAAGAGCUUUGGGUAAGGAAGUACCUGUGUGUUUGCAACUGUUUAUAUACACAUAUAUACAUAUGUGUGUGUGUGUACAAAACCUCAUAUUAUUCAUUCAGUGAUAUUUCAGUGCUCCCUGUGUCCAUUUAUUAUCAUGAUCUUUAUUUUCCAUCAAAUCUGGUAAAAAUCAAAAGCAGUCAGUGGGACUGCUUUUUUUAAGGAACUCACACUUCUAGAGCAGGCAGGUAACUAUUUAGUAAAUUACCUCUUCUGUCAUGCUCUGGAAGUCUUCAUUAAUCUCAUGUGGGUGAGACAAUUAUACUCUGAAAAUAUCAUUUUCAUCUCAGGGCCAGCCCUUACAUUAGUGUUCUUAACACAAUGAUUACAAUGAUUGUUUCAUCUUUGUUAUCUGUGGGAGGGGGGGGGUUAGUUCUCUCAAAGGUCAUGAGCCCUACAGACUCAGUUCAUCAUCUCUUGCCAGGGAUGACAGCUCUUUAGGCAAGGUAGUCCUGACAUAAGCAUAGGUCAUUCAUUGGUCAGGAAAGGAGCCAAAUGCCAAUCAUUAUGCACACUCAUCACUACCACAGGGGGAAGAUGAGCCUUAAUAUUGUGGCUCAGCAGUCUUAUCAUUUAAUAAUAGUGAUGAAAUAUUAAUAAGAAGGCCAACAAUAAGCCAGCACAUACUGAAGGCUUUCCCGGAAGGAAGCAGGCAUUGUUCUUGUUCUUUGCAGGACAUGCUAAAGCUAUGGUAAUACAUUGCAUGAAACUUUUACAAAAGAAAAUAAUGCAAAAGAAGGGGAAAGGAGCAGACCCAAGGAAAUAGUCUUUGGAAAUCAGUGUUUCUAAAGGAGACAGGAGCACCUUCAAUAGCCACUGGGGAAGUAAGCCUGCCUCUGGCAUCCAUAGUGCCCUCCCUAGCCCAGUGGGAGAUACCCCCAGUAAGAUGUGCUACAAUUGGUAACUUAGUGUCUCAAGCACCUAGAAGAAUGUCUCCCUGCUUUACUAAUACCUCCUCAGAAGACCACAAGAGUCAUGCAACUUGGCUUUAUCUAAAACCAACAACAAAGAAAAAGACUUCAGACAGGAAAGGCUGGGCACUUUUGCAGAUAUUUAAGAAAUAUGCCACAAUCUAUGAAGAAACAUUUUUUGAGUGAUAUCAACAAUGCUGAAAGGAUACUUUGGGAAAAAAGAGUAUGUAACCUAAAUGCCUGGGUUUGGGGAUGUGGGCCUUGACAGUAUAUAGCUUUUUAAUUUUAUUUCUUAAUGUAUUUUAAGUCUUUGUUUAUUGUCAAAACAAUGCAUGCUCGUUGUGAAAAAUGUAAAAGAUUUUAAAAGCAUUAUAAAAUGUAGAAGGAUGUAGAAGAAUAUAGAAAAUAAAAUGAAUCUACACCCUAUUAUUAGGAGAAAACUAUUAUAAAUAAAUGCUUUGUAAUACAUAUUCCCCUUUUCCCUAUAUUUCGAUUUUAAGUCAUUUUUAUUUUACAAUUUUAAAGUCAACUGUAUCACACUUUUUGAUGAAUGUCAUAUUUUUUUUAUAUUUAUCUAAGUAUUUGACGCAAUUAAAAUAAUUUGAAAGCAC
rnacentral:lncRNA from 1 species